AUUUCUCUGAGAUGUUUGCCAGCGGGCCAGUCCCCUGAGCCGAUAUUUAGUACAAACAGAAUGUAUUGCUCCGCGAUCGGUGAGCAUGCUCGCUUGUCGAGAAGCCUUAAGAUUGCGACGGUACGUUCACCUUGAACCUCGGGUUCAAGGGUUACAGCCUGCGACGGCAUCUCGGAGAUUCC
rfam:Serratia marcescens FGI94, complete genome.